rnacentral:rRNA from 1 species
UAACCUGCUAAAUAGUUAGGCCAACGUUUGUUGGUCGUCAACUUCUUAGAGGGACUAUUGACUAUUAGUCAAUGGAAGUUUGAGGCAAUAACAGGUCUGUGAUGCCCUUAGAUGUCCUGGGCCGCACGCGCGCUACACUGAUCAAGUCAACGAGUUUACAACCUUGGCCGGAAGGUCUGGGUAAUCUUUUGAAACUUGAUCGUGUUGGGGAUAGUCCAUUGCAAUUAUUGGACUUCAACGAGGAAUUCCUAGUAAGCGUGAGUCAUCAGCUCGCGCUGAUUACGUCCCUGCCCUUUGUACACACCGCCCGUCGCU